rnacentral:rRNA from 1 species
UGAGGAAUAUUGGACAAUGGAUGGAAAUCUGAUCCAGCCAUGCCGCGUGCAGGAAGACGGCCCUAUGGGUUGUAAACUGCUUUUGUAUGGGAGCAAUAAGGACUACGUGUAGUUUGAUGAGAGUACCAUACGAAUAAGCAUCGGCUAACUCCGUGCCAGCAGCCGCGGUAAUACGGAGGAUGCGAGCGUUAUCCGGAUUUAUUGGGUUUAAAGGGUGCGUAGGCGGAAAGAUAAGUCAGCCUGUGAAAGUUUGCGGCUCAACCGUAAAAUUGCAGUUGAUACUGCUUUUCUUGAGUGUACAUAAGGUAGGCGGAAUUCGUGGUGUAGCGGUGAAAUGCUUAGAUAUCACGAAGAACUCCGAUUGCGAAGGCAGCUUACCGGGGUACAACUGACGCUGAUGCACGAAAGUGUGGGUAUCAAACA